CCAAUAAGGUCCGCCUCUGGAGAGUCCGCCGCUGAUUGGCUGGGCGGAGCGGCACCUGGUGCUGCAGCAGCUGUUCCUGUUCAUUCAGAGUAGAAGAGUGCUCAGUCAGAGGCAGUGAGAGCAGCGUGUGAGCCGGUAAGCAAUGGAGGAAAAUAAAGAUAUAAAUGCAAAAAGGAAGGCAGGAGCAGAAGCAGUAGCCAAAGUAGCAAGGA